UACGUAGGGGGCAAGCGUUGUCCGGAUUUACUGGGCGUAAAAAGCGUGUAGGCGGCCAAACAGGUCCGUUGUGAAAACUGGAGGCUCAACCUCCAGACGUCGACGGAAACCGUGUGGCUAGAGUCCGGAAGAGGAGAGUGGAAUUCCUGGUGUAGCGGUGAAAUGCGCAGAUAUCAGGAAGAACACCAAUGGCGAAGGCAGCUCUCUGGGACGGUACUGACGCUGAGACGCGAAAGCGUGGGGAGCGAACAGG
rnacentral:rRNA from 1 species